AUUGAACGCUGGCGGCAGGCCUAACACAUGCAAGUCGAACGGUAACAGGAAGCAGCUUGCUGCUUCGCUGACGAGUGGCGGACGGGUGAGUAAUGUCUGGGAAACUGCCUGAUGGAGGGGGAUAACUACUGGAAACGGUAGCUAAUACCGCAUAACGUCGCAAGACCAAAGAGGGGGACCUUAGGGCCUCUUGCCAUCGGAUGUGCCCAGAUGAGAUUAGCUAGUAGGUGGGGUAACGGCUCACCUAGGCGACGAUCCCUAGCUGGUCUGAGAGGAUGACCAGCCACACUGGAACUGAGACACGGUCCAGACUCCUACGGGAGGCAGCAGUGGGGAAUAUUGCACAAUGGGCGCAAGCCUGAUGCAGCCAUGCCGCGUGUAUGAAGAAGGCCUUCGGGUUGUAAAGUACUUUCAGCGGGGAGGAAGGGAGUAAAGUUAAUACCUUUGCUCAUUGACGUUACCCGCAGAAGAAGCGCCGGCUAACUCCGUG
rnacentral:rRNA from 1 species